rnacentral:rRNA from 1 species
AGAGUUUGAUCCUGGCUCAGGAUGAACGCUGGCGGCGUGCUUAACACAUGCAAGUCGAACGAUCCUUCGGGAUAGUGGCGGACGGGUGAGUAACGCGUGGGAAUCUGCCCUCAGGAGGGGGAUAACGGCUGGAAACGGCCGCUAAUACCCCAUAUGCCGAGAGGUGAAAUGAAUCUCGCCUGAGGAUGAGCCCGCGUCUGAUUAGCUAGUUGGUGGGGUAAAGGCCUACCAAGGCAACGAUCAGUAGCUGGUCUGAGAGGAUGAUCAGCCACACUGGACUGAGACACGGCCCAGACUCCUACGGGAGGCAGCAGUGGGGAAUUUUCCGCAAUGGGCGAAAGCCUGACGGAGCAACGCCGCGUGAGGGAUGAAGGCCUCUGGGCUGUAAACCUCUUUUCUCAAGGAAGAAGACCUGACGGUACUUGAGGAAUAAGCCACGGCUAAUUCCGUGCCAGCAGCCGCGGUAAUACGGGAGUGGCAAGCGUUAUCCGGAAUUAUUGGGCGUAAAGCGUCUGCAGGCGGCCUUGUAAGUCUGUUGUUAAAGCGUGGAGCUCAACUCCAUUUAAGCAAUGGAAACUACAAGGCUGGAGUGUGGUAGGGGCAGAGGGAAUUCCCGGUGUAGCGGUGAAAUGCGUAGAUAUCGGGAAGAACACCAGUGGCGAAGGCGCUCUGCUGGGCCAUAACUGACGCUCAUGGACGAAAGCCAGGGGAGCGAAAGGGAUUAGAUACCCCUGUAGUCCUGGCCGUAAACGAUGAACACUAGGUGUCGGGGGAAUCGACCCCCUCGGUGUCGUAGCCAACGCGUUAAGUGUUCCGCCUGGGGAGUACGCACGCAAGUGUGAAACUCAAAGGAAUUGACGGGGGCCCGCACAAGCGGUGGAGUAUGUGGUUUAAUUCGAUGCAACGCGAAGAACCUUACCAGGGUUUGACAUCCUGCGAACCCCUGAGAAAUCGGGGGGUGCCUUCGGGAGCGCAGAGACAGGUGGUGCAUGGCUGUCGUCAGCUCGUGUCGUGAGAUGUUGGGUUAAGUCCCGCAACGAGCGCAACCCACGUCUUUAGUUGCCAGCAUUCAGUUGGGCACUCUAGAGAGACCGCCGGUGAUAAACCGGAGGAAGGUGUGGAUGACGUCAAGUCAUCAUGCCCCUUACAUCCUGGGCUACACACGUACUACAAUGCUACGGACAAAGGGCAGCAAGCUCGCGAGAGUUAGCAAAUCCCAUAAACCGUGGCUCAGUUCAGAUCGUAGGCUGCAACUCGCCUACGUGAAGGAGGAAUCGCUAGUAAUCGCAGGUCAGCAUACUGCGGUGAAUACGUUCCCGGGCCUUGUACACACCGCCCGUCACACCAUGGAAGUUGGCCAUGCCCGAAGUCGUUACUCCAACCCUUGUGGAGGAGGACGCCGAAGGUGGGGCUGAUGACUGGGGUGAAGUCGUAACAAGGUA